rnacentral:rRNA from 1 species
AACGAACGCUGGCGGCAUGCCUAACACAUGCAAGUCGAACGAGACCUUCGGGUCUAGUGGCGCACGGGUGCGUAACGCGUGGGAACCUGCCCUUAGGUUCGGAAUAACUCCCCGAAAGGGGUGCUAAUACCGGAUAAUGUCUUCGGACCAAAGAUUUAUCGCCAUUGGAUGGGCCCGCGUUGGAUUAGCUAGUUGGUAGGGUAAAAGCCUACCAAGGCGACGAUCCAUAGCUGGUCUGAGAGGAUGAUCAGCCACACUGGGACUGAGACACGGCCCAGACUCCUACGGGAGGGAGCAGUGGGGAAUAUUGGACGAGGGGCGAAAGCCUGAUCCAGCAAUGCCGCGUGAGUGAUGAAGGCCUUAGGGUUGUAAAGCUCUUUGACCCGGGAUGAUAAUGACAGUACCGGGAGAAUAAGCACCGGCUAACUCCGUG